AAAAUAACCAUGAUGUCAUUACUGAUGUCAUACAUGGAAGAAGUAAAGCUCCAAGAAGUUCAAGAGUCUCACCUGGUGACACAACAGGCUGUCAACAAGCUAGGUCUGACGCCAUGACCCUCCUCCCCGUGGACUUCCAGGGGGGCCAAGUGUCCUUCAGUUCACAAGAUCUGACUGGGUCUCAUGAAAUAAGAACCACACUUAGGCUCAGAGGUUGUGGAAAUUGGCAAUGGUGCUUUAAUUCAAGAAUUCCAGCUCAACUCCCACACUCCACACUGUGGGGCACUGAAGUUAAUGACCUCUUUGAAGUCUUUCGUAGCUGCAUACGCUUGCAGACUAGCAUGGAAGGCCAUGCUUUACACUAGACGUGUCAUUUCUAGCAGAUAGCUUCAGCCUUACCUCCAUUGCCAGCUUACCUGCUGAUCACCCUGAUGCCAAGAAAAGACUUGAAGAGACGGAGGCUUCCUGGUCACUGCUGUAGGGGCAAACUGCAGCUGACCUCAAGCCAAAAGGAAGGGGAGAGCCCAUGAGCUGUUACCUUUUAACAAUCUAGAAGAUUAAAGAAGAAUGGUUGAAAUC